rnacentral:tRNA from 1 species
CAUUAGAUGGCUGAAUCUAUAAGUAAUAGUCUCUUAAACUAAUAAAUGAAAUUUUUUCUCUAAUGA